rnacentral:rRNA from 1 species
CCUACGGGAGGCAGCAGUGGGGAAUAUUGCACAAUGGGCGCAAGCCUGAUGCAGCCAUGCCGCGUGUGUGAAGAAGGCCUUCGGGUUGUAAAGCACUUUCAGCGGGGAGGAAGGCGGUGAGGUUAAUAACCUCAUCGAUUGACGUUACCCGCAGAAGAAGCACCGGCUAACUCCGUGCCAGCAGCCGCGGUAAUACGGAGGGUGCAAGCGUUAAUCGGAAUUACUGGGCGUAAAGCGCACGCAGGCGGUCUGUCAAGUCGGAUGUGAAAUCCCCGGGCUCAACCUGGGAACUGCAUUCGAAACUGGCAGGCUAGAGUCUUGUAGAGGGGGGUAGAAUUCCAGGUGUAGCGGUGAAAUGCGUAGAGAUCUGGAGGAAUACCGGUGGGGAAGGCGGCCCCCUGGACAAAGACUGACGCUCAGGUGCGAAAGCGUGGGGAGCAAACAGGAUUAGAUACCCUUGUAGUC